rnacentral:snRNA from 1 species
GUGUUCAUUUCAGCAGCACAUAUGCUAAAAUCGGAAUGCUACAGAGAAGAUCAGCAUGACCCCUGCGCAAGGAGAUCAUGCAAAUUUAUGAAGUGUUUCAUAUUUUA